rnacentral:lncRNA from 1 species
CGCGUUUGUUAGUAUGAACUGGGCUGCAGAGCCAGAUUUUGUCUUUAUAAAGAAUGCUGCAUUUGCUAUCCGUGGGGGAUACACAGUGGAUUAUCUUCGCUGCUGGAGAGGGCUCGCUCUCUUAGGAGCACUGGGAGGCAGUGAGCUUGAUCUGAGAGGCUGAGGCUGUGCAGUCCUUCCUCUCCUCCUGCCUCUCUCACCCCACGCAGGCGCCCACUGUCCUUGUGCCAGCUCUGGCUUUCGGGUGUGCUCACUCAGGCCUAGAUGGUGAUGAUUUUGAAUUUGGAAAGACAGGAAUUGGACAAUGCAUGCGUGUGUUUCAGUUGGCUGGCACAGAAGAGUUCCUAAAGUUUCUGAGUGUGUUAAACAACAACAAGGACUAGGCUCUUAGCAUUCCUGGACUGAAAACAUACAAGAUGAUGAAGUAUACUUUCAAUUAAUAAAUAUUUGUAAGUAUCAGC